GACGAACGCUGGCGGCGUGCUUAACACAUGCAAGUCGAACGGAAAGGCCCUGCUUUUGUGGGGUGCUCGAGUGGCGAACGGGUGAGUAACACAUGAGUAACCUGCCCUUGACUUUGGGAUAACUUCAGGAAACUGGGGCUAAUACCGGAUAGGAGCUCCUGCUGCAUGGUGGGGGUUGGAAAGUUUCGGCGGUUGGGGAUGGACUCGCGGCUUAUCAGCUUGUUGGUGGGGUUGCGGCUUACCAAGGUUUUGACGGGUAGCCGGCCUGAGAGGGUGACCGGCGACAUUGGGACUGAGAGACGGCCCAGACUCCUACGGGAGGCAGCAGUGGGGAAUAUUGCACAAUGGGCGGAAGCCUGAUGCAGCAACGCCGCGUGCGGGAUGACGGCCUUCGGGUUGUAAACCGCUGUCGCCUGUGACGAAGCGUGAGUGACGGUAAUGGGUAAAGAAGCACCGGCUAACUACGUG
rnacentral:rRNA from 1 species